UACGGGGGGGGCAAGCGUUGUUCGGAAUUACUGGGCGUAAAGGGCUCGUAGGCGGCCAACUAAGUCAUACGUGAAAUCCCUCGGCUUAACCGGGGAACUGCGUCUGAUACUGGAUGGCUUGAGUUCGGGAGAGGGAUGCGGAAUUCCAGGUGUAGCGGUGAAAUGCGCAGAUAUCAGGAAGAACACCAAUGGCGAAGGCAGCUCGCUGGGACGCGACUGACGCUGAGACGCGAAAGCGUGGGGAGCGAACAGG
rnacentral:rRNA from 1 species